rnacentral:misc_RNA from 1 species
GAAAUGCGAUAAGUAAUGUGAAUUGCAGAAUUCAGUGAAUCAUCGAAUCUUUGAACGCACAUUGCGCCCCUUGGUAUUCCGAGGGGCAUGCCUGUUCGAGCGUCAUUACACCACUCAAGCUAUGCUUGGUAUUGGGUGCCGUCCUUAGUUGGGCGCGCCUUAAAGACCUCGGCGAGGCCUCACCGGCUUUAGGCGUAGUAGAAUUUCUUCGAACGUCUGUCAAAGGAGAGGACUUCUGCCGACUGAAACCUUUUAUUUUUCUAGGUUGACCUCGGAUCAGGUAGGGAUACCCGCUGAACUUAAGC